rnacentral:rRNA from 1 species
AGUCGAGCGGAACGAUGGUAGCUUGCUACCAGGCGUCGAGCGGCGGACGGGUGAGUAAUACUUAGGAAUCUACCUAGUAGUGGGGGAUAGCUCGGGGAAACUCGAAUUAAUACCGCAUACGACCUACGGGAGAAAGGGGGCAGUUUACUGCUCUCGCUAUUAGAUGAGCCUAAGUCGGAUUAGCUAGAUGGUGGGGUAAAGGCCUACCAUGGCGACGAUCUGUAGCUGGUCUGAGAGGAUGAUCAGCCACACCGGGACUGAGACACGGCCCGGACUCCUACGGGAGGCAGCAGUGGGGAAUAUUGGACAAUGGGGGAAACCCUGAUCCAGCCAUGCCGCGUGUGUGAAGAAGGCCUUUUGGUUGUAAAGCACUUUAAGCAGUGAAGAAGACUCCGUGGUUAAUACCCACGGACGAUGACAUUAGCUGCAGAAUAAGCACCGGCUAACUCUGUGCCAGCAGCCGCGGUAAUACAGAGGGUGCAAGCGUUAAUCGGAAUUACUGGGCGUAAAGGGAGCGUAGGUGGCUCGAUAAGUCAGAUGUGAAAUCCCCGGGCUCAACCUGGGAACUGCAUCUGAUACUGUUGAGCUAGAGUAUGUGAGAGGAAGGUAGAAUUCCAGGUGUAGCGGUGAAAUGCGUAGAGAUCUGGAGGAAUACCGAUGGCGAAGGCAGCCUUCUGGCAUAAUACUGACACUGAGGCUCGAAAGCGUGGGUAGCAAACAGGAUUAGAUACCCUGGUAGUCCACGCCGUAAACGAUGUCUACUAGUCGUUGGGUCCCUUGAGGACUUAGUGACGCAGCUAACGCAAUAAGUAGACCGCCUGGGGAGUACGGCCGCAAGGUUAAAACUCAAAUGAAUUGACGGGGGCCCGCACAAGCGGUGGAGCAUGUGGUUUAAUUCGAUGCAACGCGAAGAACCUUACCUGGUCUUGACAUAUCUAGAAUCCUGCAGAGAUGCGGGAGUGCCUUCGGGAAUUAGAAUACAGGUGCUGCAUGGCUGUCGUCAGCUCGUGUCGUGAG